rnacentral:rRNA from 1 species
AGUGAACGCUGGCGGUAGGCCUAACACAUGCAAGUCGAACGGCAGCACAGUAAGAGCUUGCUCUUACGGGUGGCGAGUGGCGGACGGGUGAGGAAUACAUCGGAAUCUACUUUUUCGUGGGGGAUAACGUAGGGAAACUUACGCUAAUACCGCAUACGACCUACGGGUGAAAGUAGGGGAUCUUCGGACCUUGCGCGAUUGAAUGAGCCGAUGUAGGCUUCGCUAGUUGGCGGGUUAAAGGCCCACCAACGCGACGAUCCGUAGCUUGUCUGAGAGGAUGAUCAGCCGCACUGGAACUGAGACACGGUCCAGACUCCGACAGAAGGCAUCAGUUGGGAAUAUUGGACGAUGGGCCGGUGCCUAAUCCAGCCAUAGCGGGUGAGGGAAGGAGGCCGUCGAGUUGGGAAGCCCUUUUGUUGAGAAAUAAAAGCAGCAGGUUAAUACCCCGCUGUUCUGACGGUACCCAAAGAAUAAGCACCGGCUAGCUUCGUG